GGCAUGGAGCGGGGCUCCAGCAGCGCGGCGUUCCCAUCCGGUCGCCUCGACCGUCGCGCUGAGGCCAACGGCGAGACCGACCCUCCGGGGU
rnacentral:ncRNA from 1 species